ACGCACGCUGGCGGCGCGCCUAACACAUGCAAGUCGAGCGAUGAAAUUUUAACCGAUCUCUUCGGAGAGAAGAUAAAAUGGAUUAGCGGCGGACGGGUGAGUAACACGUGAGAAACCUGCCUUUCACAAGGGGAUAGCCUCGGGAAACCGGGAUUAAUACCCUAUGACACAUUUCCUUCGCAUGGAAGAAAUGUUAAAACUCCGGUGGUGAAAGAUGGUCUCGCGCCUGAUUAGCUAGUUGGUGGGGUAACGGCCCACCAAGGCCAUGAUCAGUAACCGGCCUGAGAGGGUGAACGGUCACAUUGGAACUGAGACACGGUCCAAACUCCUACGGGAGGCAGCAGUGGGGAAUAUUGCACAAUGGAGGAAACUCUGAUGCAGCGACGCCGCGUGAGCGAUGAAGGCUUUCGAGUCGUAAAGCUCUGUCCUAUGGGAAGAUAAUGACGGUACCAUAGGAGGAAGCCCCGGCUAACUACGUG
rnacentral:rRNA from 1 species